rnacentral:sRNA from 1 species
AGAAGAGGAAGAAGAAGAU